AGGUCUAAACAAAAUAAUAAAUUCCUAUACACAUUUAGCUGCUUCUGUUUCCUCACUACUUUUGAGUACUCUUUGUGAUAAGAAGAGUGUCUUCUAAGGAGCCCCAGAUCCUCCCCUCCUUUACAAUACAUCCUUCUAAUCAUGGAGUUUCUCUUUUUCCAGCACAAUUCUUCUUCUUCCUCAGCUGGUCCUGCACUUAAGCCAGCCCUGUUAUGAAGUCACGCCCUUCUCUUCCUCUUCUCUGCCCAAGGCACUCUGCUUGUAAGUAGCUUUUCUGAAUUCCUUCUUUGCCAAGUCUUCCAGGCCAUGUAGCUUUUAAGACCAAGUAUAAACUCCUAAUUUCUUUGUUUUUCUGAAAAAAUUCUACUGCUUUAAGUCCCUGCUCUGCAGACAAACUUGGCUGAAUUGACUUGCCAGGGCAUCAUCUUCAACUUCAUCAUCCGAAUGUUGUCCCAUUUGAAUGGGAAAUAUUUGAGCUUUCAAAAGACUGUGUUUUCAAGCUUCUCUCUGCAUCCAUGAGAGACAGGCUCUGGAGAGCUGAGAGUCUUCACUAGUUGCUAAUCACUACGAUUAAUUUUCACCAAACUGGGUUGACUGUUUUCCCAUGAUAGAGAGGCAAAAUACGACCCCUCUGGAGAUGUGGUUUUUAUAGUCAACUGUACUCUCUGCUUAAAGCAUCCUGAGUGAAUCUGAGGAAGAAAAUGCCGCAUGGGAUUGCUCUUUCCCCUCCUCCCCUCACCCCUCCCUCAGUCUAUGGAGAAAUACCCCUGAACAGUGAAGAGUGGCUGGGAGGUGAAAUGAAGGCACAUAUUGUGUUGUUGCCUUUCUCUCCCAAGCAAGGCCCUCCCAACCCUUUCCCACAUGAUUUGAGGUUGUCCAGCUCUCCUCUGGACAGUUUCUGUGGCUUCCAGAAACUCCCACUGUGGAACUUAGGAACUGACACGCUAGUUCAGACCAAUGCUCCAUCUAGUUCAAUAUCCUGUGUUCAACAGUUGCCAGUAAAAGCUGACUCAAUGGAAACAGCAAGAAAUCUCGAAGUGGGCAAUUAUGGAAUGACUAUGCCAUAAAGCCUUUCAGUGCUAACUUACUACCCCUUAUAGUUUUGUCAGAAAAACAAGAAUCAGAGACUUUUCCUCUGGGUUCUCCAGGGUGUUUAGUGCUAUCUAUACUGUAUAGUCGUUGGGGCUGUAAUCUGCAUGCACCCAAGCACUCUUGGUGUUUAAUAUUAAGUAAUACCUUCUUCAAAGCAAUCACAGUGUCUCAGCUCCUGCUUGCGUACUAUGGGCACUUGUACACAAGACACCGAGGUGAUGUGCAAGUGAUGAAAAUUUUCCUUUGUGUAGCUUAGUAGCAUCACACUUUACAGGCAACCCCCGCUUAACACUCUUGAUUGGCAAUGGAAAAACCUAGCGUUAAGCAGAACCGCGCUAAGCAAAAUCCAUUUCCCCAUAGGGUUUAAUGUAAAUAGAAAUAAUUGGUUACUGCUGCUUCUUGCUGUAGCUCCUCACCAUCACCACUGCCUCUUCCCACCCCUCCACUUGCCUGCUGGCCACUCUGGCCCCACGUGCCAGUCCAUGCCCCACGUCCUGCCAGUUCCUGCACCAUGGGGCCCCACACUCACUGCUUCUUGCUGCCGCUGCUUCUCCCCACCCCCCUGCUUACCAGCUGCUCCAGCACCAUGUGCCAGCUUGGGCCCCGUGCUCUUGCUGCCCUGCUCUGGGCCCUUGCCGCCACUGGCAGGGGCCCCGCACUCAUG